UAGGUUAACGAGGCGAACCGGGGGAACUGAAACAUCUAAGUACCCCGAGGAAAAGAAAUCAACCGAGAUUCCCCCAGUAGCGGCGAGCGAACGGGGAGCAGCCCAGAGUCUGAAUCAGCUUGUGUGUUAGUGGAACGGUCUGGAAAGUCCGACGGUACAGGGUGAUAGUCCCGUACACCAAAAUGCACAGGCUGUGAACUCGAAGAGUAGGGCGGGACACGUGGUAUCCUGUCUGAAUAUGGGGGGACCAUCCUCCAAGGCUAAAUACUCCUGACUGACCGAUAGUGAACCAGUACCGUGAGGGAAAGGCGAAAAGAACCCCGGCGAGGGGAGUGAAAAAGAACCUGAAACCGUGUACGUACAAGCAGUGGGAGCACCUUCGGGUGUGACUGCGUACCUUUUGUAUAAUGGGUCAGCGACUUAUAUUCUGUAGCAAGGUUAACCGUAUAGGGGAGCCGCAGGGAAACCGAGUCUUAACUGGGCGUUAAGUUGCAGGGUAUAGACCCGAAACCCGGUGAUCUAGCCAUGGGCAGGUUGAAGGUUGGGUAACACUAACUGGAGGACCGAACCGACUAAUGUUGAAAAAUUAGCGGAUGACUUGUGGCUGGGGGUGAAAGGCCAAUCAAACCGGGAGAUAGCUGGUUCUCCCCGAAAGCUAUUUAGGUAGCGCCUCGUGAACUCAUCUUCGGGGGUAGAGCACUGUUUCGGCUAGGGGGUCAUCCCGACUUACCAACCCGAUGCAAACUACGAAUACCGAAGAAUGUUAUCACGGGAGACACACGGCGGGUGCUAACGUCCGUCGUGAAGAGGGAAACAACCCAGACCGCCAGCUAAGGUCCCAAAGUCAUGGUUAAGUGGGAAACGAUGUGGGAAGGCACAGACAGCCAGGAUGUUGGCUUAGAAGCAGCCAUCAUUUAAAGAAAGCGUAAUAGCUCACUGGUCGAGUCGGCCUGCGCGGAAGAUGUAACGGGGCUAAACCAUGCACCGAAGCUGCGGCAGCGACACUAUGUGUUGUUGGGUAGGGGAGCGUUCUGUAAGCCUGCGAAGGUGACCUGUGAGGGUUGCUGGAGGUAUCAGAAGUGCGAAUGCUGACAUAAGUAACGAUAAAGCGGGUGAAAAGCCCGCUCGCCGGAAGACCAAGGGUUCCUGUCCAACGUUAAUCGGGGCAGGGUGAGUCGACCCCUAAGGCGAGGCCGAAAGGCGUAGUCGAUGGGAAACAGGUUAAUAUUCCUGUACUUGGUGUUACUGCGAAGGGGGGACGGAGAAGGCUAUGUUAGCCGGGCGACGGUUGUCCCGGUUUAAGCAUGUAGGCUGAUUGUCCAGGCAAAUCCGGAUAAUCAAGGCUGAGGUGUGAUGACGAGGCACUACGGUGCUGAAGUAACAAAUGCCCUGCUUCCAGGAAAAGCCUCUAAGCAUCAGGUAACAUCAAAUCGUACCCCAAACCGACACAGGUGGUCAGGUAGAGAAUACCAAGGCGCUUGAGAGAACUCGGGUGAAGGAACUAGGCAAAAUGGUGCCGUAACUUCGGGAGAAGGCACGCUGGUGUGUAGGUGAAGCCCCUGCGG
rnacentral:rRNA from 1 species